rnacentral:rRNA from 1 species
GAUGAACGCUGGCGGCGUGCCUAAUACAUGCAAGUCGAGCGAACAGACGAGGAGCUUGCUCCUCUGACGUUAGCGGCGGACGGGUGAGUAACACGUGGAUAACCUACCUAUAAGACUGGGAUAACUUCGGGAAACCGGAGCUAAUACCGGAUAAUAUAUUGAACCGCAUGGUUCAAUAGUGAAAGACGGUUUUGCUGUCACUUAUAGAUGGAUCCGCGCCGCAUUAGCUAGUUGGUAAGGUAACGGCUUACCAAGGCAACGAUGCGUAGCCGACCUGAGAGGGUGAUCGGCCAUACUGGAACUGAGACACGGUCCAGACUCCUACGGGAGGCAGCAGUAGGGAAUCUUCCGCAAAGGGCGAAAGCCUGACGGAGCAACGCCGCGUGAGUGAUGAAGGUCUUCGGAUCGUAAAACUCUGUUAUUAGGGAAGAACAAAUGUGUAAGUAACUAUGCACGUCUUGACGGUACCUAAUCAGAAAGCCACGGCUAACUACGUG